GACGAACGCUGGCGGCGUGCUUAACACACGCAAGUCGAACGGAAAGGCCCUGCUUUUGUGGGGUGCUCGAGUGGCGAACGGGUGAGUAACACGUGAGUAACCUGCCCUUGACUUUGGGAUAACUUCAGGAAACUGGGGCUAAUACCGGAUAGGAGCUCCUGCUGCAUGGUGGGGGUUGGAAAGUUUCGGCGGUUGGGGAUGGACUCGCGGCUUAUCAGCUUGUUGGUGGGGUAGUGGCUUACCAAGGCUUUGACGGGUAGCCGGCCUGAGAGGGUGACCGGCCACAUUGGGACUGAGAUACGGCCCAGACUCCUACGGGAGGCAGCAGUGGGGAAUAUUGCACAAUGGGCGGAAGCCUGAAGCAGCAACGCAGCGUGCGGGAUGACGGCCUUCGGGUUGUAAACCGCUUUCGCCUGUGACGAAGCGUGAGUGACGGUAAUGGGUAAAGAAGCACCGGCUAACUACGUG
rnacentral:rRNA from 1 species